rnacentral:SRP_RNA from 1 species
GCCAGGUGUGGUGGUGCAUGCCUGUAGUACCUUGACUCCAGGAGUUUUGGGCAGUAGUGCAUUAUGCAAAUCGGGUGUCUGCCCUAAGUUCAGCAUCUGUAUGGUGACUUCCUGGGAGCAGGAGACCAUCAGGUUGCCUAAGGAGGGGUGAACCAGCCCAGGUUGGAAAUGGAGCAGGUCAGAACUCCCAUGCUGAUCAGUAGUGAGACAGUGCCUGUGAAUAGCAACUGCAACAUAGUGAGAAACUGU